rnacentral:sRNA from 12 species
GACUGCAACAACCCCGUGGGUGGGGCGCAGCCUGAAGGCAUUGGCCUAUCAGCCAAUCACCUCAGAUUGCACAGUGCAUCCACUGCAGUC